UACGUAGGUGGCAAGCGUUGUCCGGAAUUAUUGGGCGUAAAGCGCGCGCAGGUGGUUUCUUAAGUCUGAUGUGAAAGCCCACGGCUCAACCGUGGAGGGUCAUUGGAAACUGGGAGACUUGAGUGCAGAAGAGAAGAGUGGAAUUCCACGUGUAGCGGUGAAAUGCGUAGAGAUGUGGAGGAACACCAGUGGCGAAGGCGACUCUUUGGUCUGUAACUGACGCUGAGGCGCGAAAGCGUGGGGAGCAAACAGG
rnacentral:rRNA from 1 species